rnacentral:misc_RNA from 1 species
AAGAUAUGCUUUCACUGAGUCAAUAAAAUGGAAGUCUUUUGUAAAUGUCUGGCUAACCCCUUCCAAUAAACCCUGCAGAAGCUCAAGAGAUAAAAUGCGAGUCUUGGUUGUGACUUCAUCAGUGUCCUCCUUCAUUCCCAUCUUGCAAAGGGUGCGAAAUACCAGUAGAGCAUCACGUUGAACAAUGUUCACACUCUCCAGAUCAAUCCCUCGUGACAUCUUUUUACCAUCUUCAAUAUGAACAGCUUUGUCAAGAACAGCUUCUAAACCCUUGAUAU